UACAGAGGGUGCGAGCGUUGUUCGGAAUUAUUGGGCGUAAAGCGCUUGUAGGCGGCACGUCAAGUCGCGUGUGAAAUCCCCAGGCUUAACCUGGGAAGUGCGCGCGAAACUGACGAGCUUGAGUGCCGGAGAGGGCCGCGGAAUUCCCGGUGUAGAGGUGAAAUUCGUAGAUAUCGGGAGGAACACCAGUGGCGAAGGCGGCGACCUGGACGGACACUGACGCUGAGACGGCGAAAAGC
rnacentral:rRNA from 1 species